rnacentral:rRNA from 1 species
CUACACAUGCAGUCGAGCGGUAGAGAGGUGCUUGCACCUCUUGAGAGCGGCGGACGGGUGAGUAAAGCCUAGGAAUCUGCCUGGUAGUGGGGGAUAACGCUCGGAAACGGACGCUAAUACCGCAUACGUCCUACGGGAGAAAGCAGGGGACCUUCGGGCCUUGCGCUAUCAGAUGAGCCUAGGUCGGAUUAGCUAGUUGGUGAGGUAAUGGCUCACCAAGGCGACGAUCCGUAACUGGUCUGAGAGGAUGAUCAGUCACACUGGAACUGAGACACGGUCCAGACUCCUACGGGAGGCAGCAGUGGGGAAUAUUGGACAAUGGGCGAAAGCCUGAUCCAGCCAUGCCGCGUGUGUGAAGAAGGUCUUCGGAUUGUAAAGCACUUUAAGUUGGGAGGAAGGGCAUUAACCUAAUACGUUAGUGUUUUGACGUUACCGACAGAAUAAGCACCGGCUAACUCUGUGCCAGCAGCCGCGGUAAUACAGAGGGUGCAAGCGUUAAUCGGAAUUACUGGGCGUAAAGCGCGCGUAGGUGGUUCGUUAAGUUGGAUGUGAAAUCCCCGGGCUCAACCUGGGAACUGCAUUCAAAACUGUCGAGCUAGAGUAUGGUAGAGGGUGGUGGAAUUUCCUGUGUAGCGGUGAAAUGCGUAGAUAUAGGAAGGAACACCAGUGGCGAAGGCGACCACCUGGACUGAUACUGACACUGAGGUGCGAAAGCGUGGGGAG